rnacentral:rRNA from 1 species
GAUGAACGCUGGCGGCGUGCCUAAUACAUGCAAGUCGAGCGAAUGGAUUGAGAGCUUGCUCUUAUGAAGUUAGCGGCGGACGGGUGAGUAACACGUGGGUAACCUGCCCAUAAGACUGGGAUAACUCCGGGAAACCGGGGCUAAUACCGGAUAACAUUUUGAACCGCAUGGUUCGAACUUGAAAGGCGGCUUCGGCUGUCACUUAUGGAUGGACCCGCGUCGCAUUAGCUAGUUGGUGAGGUAACGGCUCACCAAGGCAACGAUGCGUAGCCGACCUGAGAGGGUGAUCGGCCACACUGGGACUGAGACACGGCCCAGACUCCUACGGGAGGCAGCAGUAGGGAAUCUUCCGCAAUGGACGAAAGUGUGACGGAGCAACGCCGCGUGAGUGAUGAAGGCUUUCGGGUCGUAAAACUCUGUUGUUAGGGAAGAACAAGUGCUAGUUGAAUAAGCUGGCACCUUGACGGUACCUAACCAGAAAGCCACGGCUAACUACGUGCCAGCCGCCGCCGUAA